rnacentral:rRNA from 1 species
GACGAACGCUGGCGGCGUGCUUAACACAUGCAAGUCGAACGGAAAGGCCCUGCUUUUGUGGGGUGCUCGAGUGGCGAACGGGUGAGUAACACGUGAGUAACCUGCCCUUGACUUUGGGAUAACUUCAGGAAACUGGGGCUAAUACCGGAUAGGAGCUCCUGCUGCAUGGUGGGGGUUGGAAAGUUUCGGCGGUUGGGGAUGGACUCGCGGCUUAUCAGCUUGUUGGUGGGGUAGUGGCUUACCAAGGCUUUGACGGGUAGCCGGCCUGAGAGGGUGACUGGCGACAUUGGGACUGAGAUACGGCCCAGACUCCUACGGGAGGCAGCAGUGGGGAAUAUUGCACAAUGGGCGGAAGCCUGAUGCAGCAACGCCGCGUGCGGGAUGACGGCCUUCGGGUUGUAAACCGCUUUCGCCUGUGACGAAGCGUGAGUGACGGUAAUGGGUAAAGAAGCACCGGCUAACUACGUG